rnacentral:rRNA from 1 species
CCGGUACAGAGGGCAGCUACCUGGUGACAGGAUGCGAAUCUCGAAAGCCGGUCUCAGUUCGGAUUGGGGGCUGAAACUCGCCUCCAUGAAGUUGGAUUCGCUAGUAAUCGCGCAUCAGCCAUGGCGCGGUGAAUACGUUCCCGGGCCUUGUACACACCGCCCGUCAAGCCAUGGGAGUUGGGGGUGCCUGAAGUACGUGACCGCAAGGAGCGUCCUAGGGCAAAACCGAUGACUGGGGCUAAGUCGUAACAAGGUACC